CUUUUUCUGUUUUUCUUAUGGUACUCGCAAGCCCAAGAUCAAACACUUACUAUUUUUUAUUUUUUACUUAUAGACCUCUCGUGUGCACGAAGUGUUAUUCCGUCAUUGCUUUUUGCAUUUCCUUAAGAACUAAUGAAAUUGGACGUCUUUUCAUGUGCUUAUCGGUCACUUGCAUGUCUAUGGAGAAAUGUCCAUUCAAAUCUGCUGUGGUUUGAAUAUAUCCUCCGCAGUUCGUGUGUUGGAAACUUGCUCCCCAGGGCAGUGGCGUUGGGAGGUAGGACCGUUCAGAGGUCACGAGGGCUGUGCUCUCAUGGUUGGAUUAGUGCUGUUAUCAAGGUCGUAGGUUUGUUAUUGUGGGAGGAAAUUUCUUAUAAAAGCACAAGUCAGCUCCUUGUUGCUCUCUCACUCUCUUUGCCCUUCUGCCAUGGGUUGAUGUGGCAAGAAAGUCCUUGCUAGAUGCCAGCCCCUUGAUCUUGGACUUCCCAGCUUCUCAAAGUGUGAGGCAAUACAUUUCUUUCUUUUUUGUAGAUGGGGUUUGGCUUUUGUUGUUCAGGCUGGAGUGCAAUGGCAUGAUCUCAGCUCACCGCAACCUCCGCCUCCUGGGUUCAAGUGAUUCUCCUGCCUCAGCCUCCCGAGUAGCUGGGAUUACAGGUAUGCACCAUUAUGCCUGGCUGAUUUUGUAUUUUCAGUAGAGACAUGGUUUCUCCAUGUUGGUCAGGUUGGUCUUGAACUCCUGACCUCAUGCGAUCUGCCCACCUGGGCCUCCCAAAGUGUUGGGAUUACAGGCUUGAGCCAAUAAAUUUCUUUCAUUAUAAAUUACCCAGUCUUAGGUAUUUAGUUAAAGCAGCACAAAAUGGACUAAGAAAAUAUUUUCUCUUUUCAAGUUGGAUUAUGCCUUUUUACUAUUGAGUACAAGAGUUGUUAAAAAUAUAUUAUUGAUACUUGAUUUUCAUCAGAUAUGUGAUUUGCAAAUACUUUUUCCUUUCCAGUUCCUUGAUUGUAUCCAUGGAAACACAAAGGCUUUACAUUUUGCUGAAGCCCAGUAUAUUUGUUUUUUCUUUGAUUGCUUAUGCUUUUGGUGUCCUAGCCAAGAAGCUAUUACCUAAUCCGAGUACAUGAAGAUUUACAGCCAUGUUUCCUUCAAAGAGUUUUAUAGUUUUAGCUUUUAUAUUGAAAUUUUUGAUCCAUUUUGAGUUAUUUUUUCUAAAUGGUGUGAGGAAGGAUCCAAAUGUGUUAUCCUGCAUGUGGGUAUCUGGUUGAAAAGACUGUUCUUUGUACCAUUGGUUAUCUUACCAUCCGUGUCAAAAACCAAUUGACCACUGAUGUGUGUGUUUACUUCUGGGCUCUCCAUUUCAUUACAUUGAUUUAUAUGUUUAUCCUUCUCCCAGUAACAAUACAAGCCUGAUAACUAUAGCUUUGUAGUAUGUUUUGAAAUUGGAAAGUAUGAAUCUUCCAGUUUUGUUCUACCUUUUCCAAAUUGUUUUGGCUAUUCAGAGUCUCUCAAAAUUUGGUAUGAAUUUUAGAAUCAUAUCAUCAAUUUCUACAAAAAGGCCAACUGGGAUAACUUAUGUUUUAAAAGUAAAGCUAUGGAUGCUGCAUGGAGAAUAUACUAUAGAGAAAACAGUUAUGAGGUCACUUUAGCUGUCCAGGUAAAAGAUGAAAGGUGGCUUGGAAUAGGGUAUUAGCCAUAGAAUUGGUCAGGAGUGGUGGGAUUUUUGAAGUUGCAGCUCCCUGAGUUUACAGGUGGAUUGCAUAUGGGGUGCAAGCAAAAGAGAAGAGUGAAGGACGAGUAUAAAUUUUGACCCAGGCAACUGAGUGCUGUUUUCAUUGCUGAGAUGGGGAACCCUGAAGAAAGAGAACAGGUUAGGGCGGAAAAUAAAGUAUUAUCUUUGGGACGUGCUAAGUUUGAGAUACCUAUUAGAAAUUCUUGUGGAAAUGACAAGUAGAAUAUUACACAUACAUGUAUAUGUGUGUAUUUGUAAUUAUAUCUAUAUCUGGGAAAGAUCAGAGCUGAAGAUAUGAGUUAAUGUACAGAUGGUGUUCAACAUCUUGAGACUGAAUGAGGUAAAGAAAAGAAUGGGAAAAGAGAAAAGAGAUAUGAAGACUGGUUGUGGGGUACUCCAACUUUUAGAGGUUUCAAAGAGUAAGUGGGUACAACAAAGAUGCAGACAAUAAGAAGCCAGGAAAGUUUGUGUAGUAUCUUGGAUGGGAAGGGAAGAAAAUGUUUCAAGAUGGAAGCAAUGAUUAACUGUGUCAUAAACUGAGAGAGUGAGUAAAAUGAGGACUGAGAAUUAUGUAUUGGAGGUCACUGAAGAACACGUCUUCAGCAGUGUGGAGACAAAAGAGUAGAGUGAAUUUGAGAAGGAACAGGAAGGAAUGAAGUGAAAACAAGACUCUUUCAAAGGCUUUUUCCCCCCCUUAAUUUGUUUUCCUGAUAGAAAAUUUUAUGCAGAAAUGUAGCGAGUUUAGAGACUUCCAUUUCCAGCCAAGAUGGAGUAACAGGGACCUUUUUUACUCUCCUGCAUGAAAUAAUUGAAAAGUGGACAAAAUAUAUGAAAGAGUGGUUUGAAAGACCCUAGGAAUCAGGCAACAAAAGACAAUGAUACCUCAGAGCCAAAAACGAAUGAGCCAUAUGACUACCAAAGCUUACUGCCUCUCCUUUUAGCCCUCAGCUGGGGAGAGGGGCAGAGCCCAGGAGGACUCCAUGAGUUGAGAUAAUGGAGCCGAGAGUCUAGGGAGACCAAGGUAGCUAGAGUUUACAAAACAGAGAGAGCUACACACAGACAGGACAGAAUUUUAGAGAUCUGCAGAGGGUACCCUUGAUUAUUUAGCUGAGAACUCAUUAGCACAUGGUCCCACUGAAAGGGUUGGAGAGAACAUUGCCUGGUACUCACAUAGCACUGGAAAUAGUGCCUUUUCCCUGCAACAAAGUGGAAAGCAUUACAAUGUGCAUGGCGUUUGGUAGAGUACAUAAAGGGGUUUGCCCCAGUAGCGAGACUAUAGACAAACAUUGCUGUGGUCCAGCCUAACAUAUUUUAAAAGCAUAAUUCAAAAUGAUCAAAUCAUUGCUAAGUAACUUCACCAUAUUCUAGGAUAAAACUCAAGAAUUCAGGAUUAUAAAUACAUCCAGCACCUUUCAAGGUAAAAUUCAUGAUGUCUGACAUCGAAUCAAAGAUUAUCAGAUAAAAAAAGAAGCAAGAAAAUGCUGCCCACAAUUAGGUAGUAAAUCAGUCAAUCAAAACUAGCCCAGAACUGACACAGGUGAUAGAAUUAUAAACAAAGAUUUGCUAUUAUUAUUAGUUAACCUUAUUAUGAUUAUUAGCUAUUAUGACUCUACAAUAUGUUCAAAAAGUUAAAUAGAGGUAUGGAUCAUAUAAAAAUAUAAAAUGAUACUUACAGAAAUGAAAACUAAAAUAUCAGAAAUGAAAAUACACCAGAUGGGAUUAAUAGCAGAUCAGACAUUGUAAAAGAAAAGACUAGUGAACCGGGCUCAGUGGCUCACACCUGUAAUCCCAGCACUUUGGGAGGCCAUCGUGGGUGGAUCAUGAGAUCAGGAGUUCGAGACUAGCCUGGCCAAAGAGAACAGCUUGGCUAAAAUGAUGAAACUCCAUCUCUGCUAAAAAUACAAAUGUUAGCCAGGCAUGGUGGCACACACCUGUAAUCCCAGCUACUCAGGAUGCUGAGGCAGGAGAAUUGCUACCUAGAGGUAGAGGUUGUUGUGAGCCAAGAUCAUGCCACUGCACUCCAGCCUGAGUGACAGAGUGAGACUCUGACUCAAAAAAAAAAAAAAAAAAGAAAGAAAGAAAAGAAACGACUAGUGAAUGUGGAGAUAUAACAAUAGAAACUGCCUAAAAUGAGACACACAGAGAUAAGAGAAUAAUAUUAAUAAUUGAAAACUGAGCAGAGUAUCAGGGACCUGUGGAAUGUUACAUAUGUAAUUGGGAGAGUAGCCUGGGCGACAAAGAGAGACCCUGUCUCCAGAAAAAAAAAAAAAAAAAAAAGGGGAGUGCUCCACUAUCUCACCUCUCUUCACAACAGCCCUAUGGGGUAGUGUAUGACUGUCUCAGCCCCUGUUAACAGCUGUGGAAAGCUAGACUUACAGAAUUAGGCUACUGCCUAUUGUCACAUCUCAGAAGCAUCAGAGCCAGAAUUGAAAUCCAAGUCCAUGUGUCUACAAAGUCCUUGCCCUUAACAAUAAUUUUCUGUCAAAGCACCUCCCUUGAUGAGUGAAAUUUUUCCUGGCAAGAGUAGAAAUAUGCAUGUUUUCCCUUCAAUUCUCAUUUAUUAUAGAGACCACAUUUUGACAAGAAUAAAGGAACUCAGAAGAAUGAAAGUAAUUCACAGUUCCAGAUCCUGUUCAGCCAGUUUGCAUUUUUCUCCAUUUCCUUUUGACCCUUCUCCAACCACACAUAGUUUACAUAGUUGUAGAUGCAAUUUUGUUUUCUGCUCUUAUGCUUAAUGUUAUACCAAACAUUUUUCUUGUUGCAAUUUAGGCUGAUAGAUGCACAAUAUUCCGUUUUGUUAAGGCGCCACAGUUUAAACAGUCACCCAUGACGGACAAUAUUUGUUUCCAGUUUCUUCCUGUUUUAAAUGCUGCUACAGCAAACCAUUUUGUUUUCCGCCCGUCUUUUGUUACUCUUUUCUUAGAAUAAAUUCCCAGGAGUGAGAUUACCAAACAAGAAUGUGAGCAUGUUUAUGGAUUUAAUCUUUAAAAGGAAGUGAAAUUAAGAGAGUUUGUAUCUUCCAUCACGGUGGAUACAUUUCACAGCUGGCAAGAACAGAUUAACUCCGUGAAUUAUUGUUCAGGUGGAGCAAAGUUAAAGACAGGUGGGAACUGACUGCUGGUGGGGACAGGGGUUCUUUUUGAGGUGGUGCAAUGUUCUGGAAUAAGCUAGAGGCCACAAUUACACGACUUUGCCAAUGUGCUAAGAACAUUGAAUUGUGUGUACUUUAAAGGGAUGGAUUUUGUGGUAUGUGAAUUAUAUACCAAUAAAGCUAUUAUUAAAAACUAAAGGAAAAAUUUCUGACACUCUUAGUAGUAGUUUUAACCAUUGCUAUAGGAGAGUUCUAGAUUUGUUUUUGUAUUUGGAGGCAGCGUAUAAUAGUGUGGAAGAACGUAAGACUAUCAGGGUUUGAACUGCAGGGUCAUGACUUAGCUGCUGUGGGACCCUUGGCAAGUGCUGUAGGUUGGGUCCUCCAGAAUCCGGUGCUGAGAUAGAGUUUGGGGUGCAGGGUGUUUGCAAGGGUCAACACAGGGCAGGCCCAUGGUGGAGCAGGACUGGGCAGAGAAAGGGGUGGGAAGGAGAUACCGGCCAGACACAGCUGGGCCAGCCCUGCGGGAGCCCUGACAGUUAGCGCGCCUACACUGGGCUGAAAUGGCCAGACCUUUACACACGGGCCUGGCUCCUAGGCCUGCUGUGAGCGGCCUGCGAAGGCCCUCAUUAAUGAGGGGCUCUGUAUCUAAGGCUGACCUGAACAGCUGGCAGAAGAAGGCUCACGGCAUUGGUCCCCUCCCCACAGCCAGGCAACGAGGCCAGGUCUGACCGGGGUGUGGGGUGUGGGUGGCACCCCUCUGUGUCUACCACAGCAAGUUGCUUUCACCUCAGUUUCCUCACCUGUAAAAUUGAAAUGAUAACAGUGACUACCACUUAGGAUUGCUAGAAAAUGAAAUGCAGUGACUUCUAAGUACACAUGAAAUACUUAGAACAGUGCUGGGCAUGUCAUAAAUGUUCAAAACCUACUAGCUACUGUUAUUUAUUAUUACUCCAUUGAAUAACAUAGUCAGCUUUGGCCAGACUAUGCUAAAGAGUUGCUGUGCAGCAUAUACACUGAGAAGUCUGUGAAGACUUAAAAAAAGACCUUAUUUUAUGAAUCAGUUUGAAGUCCACAGCAAAAUGGAGCCCUCGCUCCCACAUGUGCACAACCUCUUUCAAUAUUCUGAAGACUUUUUUUUUUGAGAUGGAGUUUUGCUCUUGUUGCCCAGGCUGGAGUGCAGUGGCAUUGCAGCUCACUACAACCUCCGCCUCUCAGGUUCAAGUGCUUCUCCUGCCUCAGCCUCCUGAGUAGCUGGGAUUACAGGCAUGUACCACCAUGCCUGGCUAAUUUUGUAUUUUUAGUAGAGAUGGGGUUUCACCAUGUUGGACAGGCUGGUUUCGAACUCCUGACCUCAAGUGAUCCACCUGCCUGGGCCUCCCAAAGUGCUGUGAUUACAGGUGUGAGCCACCACACCCGGCCAUUCUGAAGACUUUUAAGAAAAGGCAUAACAGCUUUCUGAGAGGGCUUAUGUGUGUGUUGAGGCCAGAAUCAGCCGGAACUACAAGGAGUGAGGUGAAUGAUGUGAAAGCUUCCCUGCCUCCAGUUCCCCAUGAUCUGCCUGUGCUUGACUGAUACUUCUGUCCAUUCAGUUACUCUUGGUCGUUAACAGCUCUACAUGGUGAGGAUGGGUUUAUUGGACUCUUUUACUAUCACAGUUAACUGAGAGCAGAACCUCUCAGGAAGUCAGGUUUUGAUAAAUAGGUUAGGGUUCUAGAAUGGGAGGAGCUACCUAGUGCAGGGAUUAGGGGCAGUGGGCCUGGAUGUCACAAAGAACAGAGCAUGUGCAUUUAUGGUGAGGGCAGCAUGGGCCUGUGCGUGGCCUGUCUGCAGAGCUGUGUGGGAGGAUCCAGAGAGGAAAGGGAUGCUCAGAAAAGGAGUUGGCAGUCUGGGGAUUACUGGCGCUAGGACUUCAGCUGGGGCUUCACCAUGUGGUCAAGGCUUCCUGACGGCAUGGCCACUGCUUUUGAAGACCCCUCAGGCCUCCAACACUCCAGCUCUGACAGUGAAGAUGAUCUGCAGAAGAGCUGGCGCCCUUCACCAUGGAAUAAACCCAGGAUUCAGAGAAGCUGAAGAAGCGGUUCUGGUGGGAGCUGGAGGCAGUGCAGGCACAGCUGCUACCCUGUACCAAUAAAUGCAGCCAGUGGGUGCAGGGCAUCGUGUGUGAGCCCCCACAGCGCUGUGGUGGGCCCUACGCAGACUUUUUGAUUGUAAACAUGAUUGCUGUUUCACUCUGCCUUCCACAUUUUGGUCAGAUUUUUUCAGAAACGUAGUUCCAGCUUAGGCACGCUGACACGGUACAAAGCCACCACAGUAGCUGGCCAGGGAGGGAUUAUGAGUGCAGGCUGAGAAUGCACAGGAAGCGUUGCCUAUUUAUGGAGUAGGUACUAUUUAAGGGUUUAUGUGCAUCAGACGCAAAGAACUCAACCAAAGGUGGGGAAAGUUAGUGCUUAGAAAUCCGUGACACUAGAUAACCAGUAAAUACAAAUAGAC